rfam:Capsicum annuum cultivar Zunla-1 chromosome 10, whole genome shotgun sequence
UGAUGAUGGUAAGGUCAAUUUCUAAGCAAAAUCUUAAAUCUCUCCCAAGCUUGGAAUAGAUUCUCUCCUUUUUGUUUGAAACUUAGAAUCUCACUUCUCAAACU